rnacentral:rRNA from 1 species
CCCUUAGAUGUUCUGGGCCGCACGCGCGCUACACUGUUCGACGCAGCGAGUCUUAACCUUGACCGAAAGGUUUGGGUAAUCUUCAGCAAAGUCGAACGUGAUGGGGAUCGAUCAUUGCAAUUAUUGAUCGUGAACGAGGAAUUCCUAGUAAGUGCAAGUCAUCAGCUUGCGCUGAUUACGUCCCUGCCCUUUGUACACACCGCCCGUCGCUACUACCGAUUGAAUGGUUUAGUGAGAUCUCUGGAUUGACGCUGGCUAGGGGGCGACCCUUGGCCAGACUGUUGAGAAACUUCUCAAACUUGAUCAUUUAGAGGAAGUAAAAGUCGUAACA